AACGAACGCUGGCGGCAGGCCUAACACAUGCAAGUCGAGCGAGGACUUCGGUUCUAGCGGCGGACGGGUGAGUAACGCGUGGGAAUGUGCCCUUCUCUACGGAAUAGCCCUGGGAAACUGGGAGUAAUACCGUAUACGCCCUAUCGGGGAAAGAUUUAUCGGAGAAGGAUCAGCCCGCGUUGGAUUAGGUAGUUGGUGGGGUAAUGGCCUACCAAGCCGACGAUCCAUAGCUGGUUUGAGAGGAUGAUCAGCCACACUGGGACUGAGACACGGCCCAGACUCCUACGGGAGGCAGCAGUGGGGAAUCUUAGACAAUGGGGGCAACCCUGAUCUAGCCAUGCCGCGUGAGUGAUGAAGGCCUUAGGGUUGUAAAGCUCUUUAAGCUGGGAAGAUAAUGACGGUACCAGAAGAAGAAGCCCCGGCUAACUCCGUG
rnacentral:rRNA from 1 species